rnacentral:ncRNA from 1 species
AGUUGAUCAUAAACCUUUUUCCGAGGAUCAAGGGGAGGGCAAGUCUGGUGCCGCCAGCUGCGGUUAUUCCAGCUCCACUAGCGUAAAUCGUCAUUGCUGCGCUUAAAGAGCUCGUAGUUGGAUCUGAGUCGCAUGCAGCGGUUUGCCUUUAGAGGCUUGGAGACUUUUGCUGCGGCGGCAGUCAUGGUUAAGCAUAGGCCAGCGACGUAGCGGCGACGUCGCAGUGGCAAGGGGCAGGCGACAACAGCUUGCAUUUUUUUACUGCGGCGGCGCUCAGCGACGUCGCCCAGAGGCGCGCGGCAAGGGAUGGUAGUGCGGGUAUUUUGUCGGCGGGCGACAACUUUUGUCGCGCACCCACUUUUGCCGCGGCGGCAGGGUGCCGUUGCGGCAAAGUAAGCAAGCCUCUUUUGGUGUUAACCGUUGUUGCGACUAUUUUCUAGUUUUCUAUUGAAGUUUCGGCUUCAUUGGUGGCCAGCGAGUUUACUUUGAAUAAAACAAAGCGUUCAGAACAAGCGUUUGCUCGAAUGCUCGAUCAUGGAAUAAUAAAGGAGGUCUUCGGUUCUAUUCAUUGGUUCAGGGACUGAAAUAAUGGUUGAGAGAGACAAGUUCGAGGCAUUCGUUUCCUUGCACGAGAGAUGAGAUUCGUGGACCGCAGGGGAACGUCCUCAAGCAAAAGCGUUUGUCAAGAAUGUCUUCAUUAAUCAAGAACGAAAGUCAGAUGUUCCAAUUCGAUCAGAUAUCGCCCUAAUUCUGACCGCAAACUAUGCUAUCUAGCGAUCCGAUGGGGUAUUGUUGCCUUGUCAAGGAGCUUCCCAGAAACGAAACUCUUCUCCCGCGGUAGAAUGGUUGCAAAGCUGAAAGUUAAGGAAACUGACGGAAUGGCACCACCACGAAUGGAGCCUGUGGCUUAAUUUGACUCAACACGGGAAAACUCACCCGGCUCGGACACCGUAAGGAUUGGAUUGAAAGCUCUUUCUUGAUUUGGUGGUUGGUGGUGCAUGGUCGUUCUUAGUCGAUGGAGCGAUUUGUCUAGUUCAUUCCGAUAACGAGCGAUACUGUGGCUGGAUUUUCACGUCCAGUCUACUUCUUAGAGGAAUAAGUGGUGUUUAGCUUCAUGAGAUCGAGCGACAACAGGUCCGUGAUGCCCCCAGAUGUCCGGGGCUGCACACGCGCUACAAGCGAAGAAUCAGCUGCCCUAUCCGUUGCUGAAAGAGACUGGUUAACCCUUAAACUCUUCCGUGAUCGAGAUGGGGAAUUGUAAUUAUUUCUCUUGAACGAAGAAUUCCUACUAAGUGUGAUUCAUCAGCUCACGCUGAUUACGUGUCUGCCACUUGUACGUACGGCCCGUCUUUGUCCAAGACUGAGCUGUCUCGACAGGGCUGUGGGCUGCUGUAUCGAGGUCUUCGGGUCGCGAUAUGGUGAAAAACAGUUCAGUC